rnacentral:rRNA from 1 species
UGGCUCAGGACGAACGCUGGCGGCGUGCCUAAUACAUGCAAGUCGAGCGAACAGAAGGGAGCUUGCUCCCGGAUGUUAGCGGCGGACGGGUGAGUAACACGUGGGUAACCUGCCUGUAAGACUGGGAUAACUCCGGGAAACCGGAGCUAAUACCGGAUAGUUCCUUGAACCGCAUGGUUCAAGGAUGAAAGACGGUUUCGGCUGUCACUUACAGAUGGACCCGCGGCGCAUUAGCUAGUUGGUGGGGUAAUGGCUCACCAAGGCGACGAUGCGUAGCCGACCUGAGAGGGUGAUCGGCCACACUGGGACUGAGACACGGCCCAGACUCCUACGGGAGGCAGCAGUAGGGAAUCUUCCGCAAUGGACGAAAGUCUGACGGAGCAACGCCGCGUGAGUGAUGAAGGUUUUCGGAUCGUAAAGCUCUGUUGUUAGGGAAGAACAAGUGCGAGAGUAACUGCUCGCACCUUGACGGUACCUAACCAGAAAGCCACGGCUAACUACGUGCCAGCAGCCGCGGUAAUACGUAGGUGGCAAGCGUUGUCCGGAAUUAUUGGGCGUAAAGGGCUCGCAGGCGGUUUCUUAAGUCUGAUGUGAAAGCCCCCGGCUCAACCGGGGAGGGUCAUUGGAAACUGGGAAACUUGAGUGCAGAAGAGGAGAGUGGAAUUCCACGUGUAGCGGUGAAAUGCGUAGAGAUGUGGAGGAACACCAGUGGCGAAGGCGACUCUCUGGUCUGUAACUGACGCUGAGGAGCGAAAGCGUGGGGAGCGAACAGGAUUAGAUACCCUGGUAGUCCACGCCGUAAACGAUGAGUGCUAAGUGUUAGGGGGUUUCCGCCCCUUAGUGCUGCAGCUAACGCAUAAGCACUCC